GGUGGAGUGACCGAGUGGCCAGGUCGCAGCCUGCAACGCUGCGUACGCAGGUUCGAAUCCUGCCUCCACCU
rnacentral:tRNA from 3 species